AAUAGCCUAACGGCUGAACCAGCAACUUGGAGGAAUGUAAGGCAAUAGCCUAAUGCAUUAUUUUAAUGUUUAAUCGACCAUGUCGGAUAAAAUUCUAGGUAGAGUUUUGACAAUGACAUUCUCUAUCUAUGUGUCUUGACCAAAUUACGUGCCAGCAGUCGCGGUAAUACGUAAAAGACUAGUGUUAUUCAUCUUUAAUAGGUUUAAAGAGUACCAAGACGGUUAAUAAAGCCCCUAAAGGGUACAAAUUAACUAGAGUUAUAUGAAAGGGAGCUCUUAGGUACUGUUGAGUGUAGAGAUGAAAUUCUGUGAUACCAGAUGAUUGGCACGGGUCUAUGCGAAGGCAUCUCCUUAUGUAAUAACUGACGUUGUAGGACGAAGGCUUUUGAAGUGAACAGGAUUCGAUACCCCAGUAAUCUAGGCAGAAAAUGAUGAGUGUCAUAGGUUAAAUAUAAUUUAGUCUAUAAAUGAAAGUGUAAGCAUUCCACCUCAAGAGUAAUUUGGCAACAUUGGAACUGAAAUCAUUAGACCGUUUCUGAAACCAGUAGUGAAGUAUGUUGUUUAAUUUGAUGAUCCGCAAAGAACCUUACCACUUUUAACAAUGUUAAAAUUAUUAUUUUUUUUUUUUUUUAACAUUGUUAAAAUUAUUAUCUUGAAUAAAUAUUAUUUUAAUAUUUACAAGCGUUGCACGGCUGUCUUCAGUUAAUGUCGUGAGAUUUUGGUUAGUUCCAUUAAAUUAACGAAAACCCUUACUUUAUUUUUAUAUAAAGUUGUUCACCGUUAUAUUGGAUAUGAUAAUAGGGACCAGGACAAGUCAUCAUGACCUAAAUAUUGUGGGCUAUAGACGUGCCACAUAAGCCUUACAAAAGGAUGCUAAAUUGCGAAAUUAAGCUAAUCCCCUAAAAUUGGGUAUACAUAUUAU
rnacentral:rRNA from 1 species